rnacentral:rRNA from 1 species
GAUGAACGCUGGCGGCGUGCCUAAUACAUGCAAGUCGAGCGAACGGACGAGAAGCUUGCUUCUCUGAUGUUAGCGGCGGACGGGUGAGUAACACGUGGAUAACCUACCUAUAAGACUGGGAUAACUUCGGGAAACCGUAGCUAAUACCGGAUAAUAUUUUGAACCGCAUGGUUCAAAAGUGAAAGACGGUCUUGCUGUCACUUAUAGAUGGAUCCGCGCUGCAUUAGCUAGUUGGUAAGGUAACGGCUUACCAAGGCAACGAUGCAUAGCCGACCUGAGAGGGUGAUCGGCCACACUGGAACUGAGACACGGUCCAGACUCCUACGGGAGGCAGCAGUAGGGAAUCUUCCGCAAUGGGCGAAAGCCUGGCGGAGCAACGCCGCGUGAGUGAUGAAGGUCUUCGGAUCGUAAAACUCUGUUAUUAGGGAAGAACAUAUGUGUAAGUAACUGUGCACAUCUUGACGGUACCUAAUCAGAAAGCCACGGCUAACUACGU